GACGAACGCUGGCGGCGUGCUUAACACAUGCAAGUCGAACGGAAAGGCCCUGCUUUUGUGGGGUGCUCGAGUGGCGAACGGGUGAGUAACACGUGAGUAACCUGCCCUUGACUUUGGGAUAACAUCAGGAAACUGGGGCUAAUACCGGAUAGGAGCUCCUGCUGCAUGGGGGGGGUUGGAAAGUUUCGGCGGUUGGGGAUGGACUCGCGGCUUAUCAGCUUGUUGGUGAGGUAGUGGCUUACCAAGGCUUUGACGGGUAGCCGGCCUGAGAGGGUGACCGGCCACAUUGGGACUGAGAUACGGCCCAGACUGCUACGGGAGGCAGCAGUGGGGAAUAUUGCACAAUGGGCGGAAGCCUGAUGCAGCAGCGCCGCGUGCGGGAUGACGGCCUUCGGGUUGUAAACCGCUUUCGACUGUGACGAAGCGUGAGUGACGGUAAUGGGUAAAGAAGCACCGGCUAACUACGUG
rnacentral:rRNA from 1 species